GACGAACGCUGGCGGCGUGCCUAAUACACGCAAGUCGAGCGGAACACUUGGAGCUUGCUCCAAGCGUUUAGCGGCGGACGGGUGAGUAACACGUGGGCAACCUGCCCUGCAGAUCGGGGUAACUCCGGGAAACCGGUGCUAAUACCGAAUAGUUUGAGGCCCCUCCUGAGGCUUCACGGAAAGACGGUUUCGGCUGUCACUGCAGGAUGGGCCCGCGGCGCAUUAGCUAGUUGGUGGGGUAACGGCCCACCAAGGCCACGGUGCGUAGCCGAGCUGAGAGGGUGACCGGCCACACUGGGACUGGGACACGGCCCAGAAUCCUACGGGAGGCAGCAGUAGGGAAUCUUCCGCAAUGGACGCAAGUCUGACGGAGCAACGCCGCGUGAGUGACGAAGGUUUUCGGAUCGUAAAACUCUGUUGUGAGGGAAGAACACGUACCAACUAACUAUUGGUACCUUGACGGUACCUCACCAGAAAGCCACGGCUAACUACGUGCCAGCAGCCGCAGUAAAAC
rnacentral:rRNA from 1 species